CCUUUAUUAUUUCAUUUUGGUCGAGUACGCACUCCGUUCACAAACAAUACCGUCCGACUGAGAAGACAACGCACUGCUGUCAUUGUGAUCGUUGUCGUUCUCGCUGUCGCUGUCAUACAACAACAAUCGAACGAGUCCUUUGAAACGAACCAAAAACAAAUCGAUCAAAAUGUUCAAAAGCCAUUUGGAAAUGAUUGGUCGUAAUGAGACGCCCAGCAAGAAAGCCAAAUUUUGGACCUCUUACAUCAGAUCUUUAAAAGGAUCUGAGGAUAUCCGUGCCCAUGAGACUCCAAGACUUGGACGCCCCUAUAGCUCAUACUUAGAUGCCCCUGCCACAUACAGGAGCAUCUUUGAUGAGCCUGUCACUGCUCAAGAUCGCGUCCUCUCUCAUGGUUACAGAUAUUUACCAGUCAGCAGAGAUACUUAUGGCUAUUCACCACGUGCCAUCUACGAUCAUCACUAUAGCAGAACAAUUCCAGCUACCUACGAAGCAGAAAGGGCCUGGAAUGAACACUUGAGACGUAUGCAAGAAAUUGAACGCAGAUACCCAUCCCGUUAUGGUUUGUAUUUGAAGGACAAGCCCUACACACCUCACUCGUUGGUGCCUUUGGAAUUUGAGCCUGAGGAUAAAAUGUUACAAGAUCUUAACAGGGCUCGUCGCUCUCCCUCACCAAUGGUGGGUCCAAAUCGUGUGAAACGCGCUGGCAGUGAACCCUACGUACCACCACCAACCUGUUGGUCACGCGGUCCUAGUCCGCCACGUGGUCGUUCCAUGACUCGGGGACCGUCGGUAUUUGAUCGUGCUACCAGCUUGGCUCCUUUUACACGUCCUCUGUUCCGGGCCAGUUCGUUAGAACCGUUGGAUGAACUAUUUGCCCGUAAGUUAGAGAGGCCUAGCGUUUUUGAGCGUGCUGGCUCACCAAGUCCCACUCCUGUCAAGGCCGGUCGCUGGGGACCGCGUCCCACUGAAGUUGCCUUUGAUGCUGAUGGACUUCCCAUCUUCCAUCCCAGAAACCGUUUCAGGGAUAUGUUCGAUCCCAAUCCGGCUAUGCCAAUAUCCGCUUUCACUCGCGAUCCCUUCUGGUGGGAUAUUGAAGAUUUGGCUCCCUUCCGUGCUGGCUCGCCCUUCCGCGGUUUAUCAUUACCGCCACGUGGUAGCAGUGUAGCCCGCGAUUCGUUCUUAUCACCUGUCAAGAACCGUUAUUUAUGGGCCAAGCAUCCUGCUAGGCCAUUAACACCCGAACAAGAGGAUAUGAAUAAUUUAUAAUAAAUAAAAAUCAAUCAAUUAAUUCAUAUAAAGCAAUCAUAAACAUCUACGUAAGAAACUUUGUUUGACAAAACUAAAAAAAAAACCAAAAAAAAAAAAUAAAAAUUAACGAAAAUUGCUCAUCGCUUACCUUGGUAAAAGACUGGUCAUUCUUUUGCGGACUCUUGAACGAUGCACGAUGUUACGAUUAAUAUAUAUUUUUAAGGAUUUUCGGCCCAUAAGCAACGAUUCUAUGAUAAAGCGUUUCAUAUACGUAACGAACAACGAAAUAUAACGAAGAUUUUUCCCUGCCUUUAAAUCGCUCACACAUAGCCUAAGUGUAUUAAAAAAUAUGAACCUUCCGUUCUCAUGACAUCGAGAAAAACGACGAAAGAAAAACUUUUUUUGUGCUUUUAAUAAUUUUUCCCUUUUAUAUAUCAAAUCCUUUUUCCCCUC